CUCCCUCAGCCCGGGUUUCCGGGCCUCCUGGCUAUUUGAAGGCGGGCGAGACCCUGGGUCAUCUCCCUGGCCUCUAGUUCCUGCUUGUCUUCCUCGCCUGUCCCCGGUCCGGCCAGCAUGUGUCCCUGGCCCCGCUCGCUGCUUGCCACCCUCCUGCUGGUCCUCGCCGGCGUCCUCACCGUGCGCAGCGACACACCUGCCAACUGCACCUAUCCUGAGCUGCUGGGCACCUGGGUCUUCCAAGUGGGUGCCAGCGGGUCCCAGCGCAUCAACUGCUCGGUUAUGGGACCACCAGAAAAAAAAGUAGUGGUGCACCUUCAGAAGAUGGAUACGGCAUUUGAUGACUUUGGCAAUUCUGGUCAUUUCACUAUCAUUUACAACCAAGGCUUUGAGGUUAUAUUGAAUGACUACAAGUGGUUUGCCUUUUUCAAGGAUGUCACUGAUUUUGUCAGUCAGUUGUUCAUGCAGCUGGGAACUGUGGGGAUAUAUGAUUUGCCACAUCUGAGGAACAAACUGGAGAGAGGGAGACUGGCAAGAUUAUGGUUUUCUUAAAGACUUCUUGCUUGAGCCUGCUUAUCUGCUGUUUCUCACUUGCCUGCAUCAUUUUAUGGGAGUGAUUUUCCACUUUAGUGUCUGCAUGCGUCAAGUUAGCUGUACCAUGAAUGACAGUCGUAACGGUCUACAUAUUUAUUUUUUCUAUAAGUGAGAGAGAGAUGAGAGACAGUAUCCCAAUAGGGUCUGGAUGCCUCUGUCCACCCCCUUCCAACCUGGCAUACUCAAGAAGAGCUACAGAUGCAAACCCAGAACCUUCUCAUGUGGUAGGUCAGCCUUGCAGAGGCAUCACUUAGCUGUGCCACCUGUUAGCCCCUUUUACUCAUCGUUGUAAAACUUGCCUCUACCCAAAACAGAAUAUUGACUAGAAAGAAGAGGCUCUUUUUCACUCUUCAUUCCUUUCACUUUCAGAUUAUUGAAUGUAAUGUUUAAAUCAUCAUUUGCACUAAAUACAUUUGGUUGUCUAAAACCUAAUGUAAAAAUGAGUCAUUAGAGGGUAAAGUUGAAGGCCAGCCCCAUAACCUGGUGGUUAAGGGAGGUUGAUCCCACAUGGCUGACUAGGGUUUGAAUCCUAGCCCUGGUGGUUCACUAUAUUUUCCCCACCAAAAAAUUGAGGUACUUUCAGAAUGCAGUUCAUGAAAUUCUGUCCUAAGCCUUGUUACUCUUCCUCUUUCUUAGGGAGACAACCUCCCCACCCCCAAGUAGAAGAGGUAGUAGACUGAUACCUGUUGUGCACGUGGGAACUAACCUAGUACUUAGACAUACAGGAUCCCAGAAGCACUAAGCCUGCAUUGAGAAUUAGUAAGGGGUAUAAAUUAAUGCACCUGCAUUGCUAGAAUUUAGCCUGUUCCUUAAGAACAUGUCAGUUACAUCAGGUUUAUACCAUCAGUUACUCUGAGAUGCAUGUGCUUGGUAAGCAUGUUGGCUGUGCGCAUGUCGCUUUAACGUUCAGCUUGAGAAUGGCGGCUUUUGGGGAAUGUCUUAAGAAGCAUUAAAAAUACCAGGAUCUCAAAUAUUAGUGGUAUUUUUUUUUUUUUAAGAAAAAUGAAUAUGAUCGAGUAGUAUUAAAAGACAGCAUGAUCCUUGCUGGCUUAUAACCCUAGUUUUUAUUGUCUUGUAGUUAUUACAUAGAGCAUCCUUUGAGAGGCUCUUGUAAAACCACAGCCAAGAACACGCUGGGGCUAAGAGGCAGAGGAGCCUGCAGCAGUGGACCUGCCUCUAGCAGCUAGCAGAGGCCUCUGGCAGCUCUUAGUCCCUUCUGGAGUCUAUUUGCAUGUAGAAUGCAGAGGAGUCCUGGUGACCUACCUCCAAGGCGGCUGUGCUCCUGAUCAUUUCCUUGGAAAGCAGCUAACCGCCCUUUUGGAAUGUGACAGAGACUACACGAGACAGAGGAAAAGAUACCUGGAAGAGAUGAAGUCUGGGGUGGCUUCAGUCUUCAACUUUUUAAUACAAGGAACACAUGUAACCCAUUAACUCUUUUUUUGUUUUUCAUUUUUGAAUACACUUCAAAAAUUGAAUGAUUUUUCCAAACUGAUCAAGAUUAGAUCUUUGGAUGUUGUUAUAGUCACAGUUUAAUUUCUCUCCCUGGGUGCGUUCCUGGUCUCUAAUUAUCUUGAGUAACCCCAGAGCCUAUGGUAAGAGAAAGUAAAGCUUCAGGAUCUCUCGAGAUGCACAGAUAUAAGUUAGGGGAAGUAAGAUGAUCUGGUGGAGGGCCUGUCUCAGAUAAGCCAGACUGCCAGAGAGAUCUUUUCGCAGUAUGUCUGGCCAGAAAGAUGGUCUAGUUAAUGAGUGUUGAUUUUUUUCUAAGUAGGCUCCAGCUUUGUGCUAGUAAAAUUUUGCAUUACAAAAACCCUGUAGAUAUUACUAGUGUCCUUUCAUAAUAGAGAAAAUUAGUCCCUUAGGUGUUUAAGCUUACUCAGUAUCUAACUUUAAAAUGACCAGACCAAGUCUUUAAAGCCUUGAGGACUUCCUUAGGGCUAAAGAAUCAAAGAAAAAGAAAGAAUAAAUUCCA